rnacentral:rRNA from 1 species
UGGGGAAUAUUGGACAAUGGGCGCAAGCCUGAUCCAGCAAUGCCGCGUGGGUGAAGAAGGUCUUCGGAUUGUAAAGCCCUUUCGGCGGGGACGAUGAUGACGGUACCCGCAGAAGAAGCCCCGGCUAACUUCGUGCCAGCAGCCGCGGUAAUACGAAGGGGGCUAGCGUUGCUCGGAAUUACUGGGCGUAAAGGGCGCGUAGGCGGUUCUGUUAGUCAGGCGUGAAAUUCCUGGGCUCAACCUGGGGGCUGCGCUUGAUACGGCAGGACUAGAGGAUGGAAGAGGCUCGUGGAAUUCCCAGUGUAGAGGUGAAAUUCGUAGAUAUUGGGAAGAACACCGGUGGCGAAGGCGGCGAGCUGGUCCAUUACUGACGCUGAGGCGCGACAGCGUGGGGAGCAAACA